ACCGGUUGACCAAGAUCGAGGGUCUGCAGAACCUGGUGAACCUGCGGGAGCUGUACCUUAGCCACAAUGGCAUCGAGGUCAUCGAGGGCCUGGAGAACAAUAACAAACUCACGAUGUUGGACAUUGCAUCAAAUAGAAUCAAAAAGAUUGAAAAUAUCAGCCAUCUAACAGAGCUGCAAGAGUUCUGGGUAAGUUUAAUACACGCUGGGGUUG
rnacentral:sRNA from 1 species